rnacentral:rRNA from 1 species
AGUGAACGCUGGCGGUAGGCCUAACACAUGCAAGUCGAACGGCAGCACAGUAAGAGCUUGCUCUUACGGGUGGCGAGUGGCGGGCGGGUGAGGAAUACAUCGGAAUCUACUUUUUCGUGGGGGCUAACGUAGGGACACUUACGCUAAUACCGCAUACGACCUACGGGUGAAAGCAGGGGAUCUUCGGACCUUGCGCGAUUGAAUGAGCCGAUGUCGGAUUAGCUAGUUGGCGGGGUAAAGGCCCACCAAGGCGACGAUCCGUAGCUGGUCUGAGAGGAUGAUCAGCCACACUGGAACUGAGACACGGUCCAGACUCCUACGGGAGGCAGCAGUGGGGAAUAUUGGACAAUGGGCGAAAGCCUGAUCCAGCCAUACCGCGUGGGUGAAGAAGGCCUUCGGGUUGUAAAGCCCUUUUGUUGGGAAAGAAAAGCAGCAGGUUAAUACCCCGCUGUUCUGACGGUACCCAAAGAAUAAGCACCGGCUAACUUCGUG